GACGAACGCUGGCGGCGUGCUUAACACAUGCAAGUCGAGCGGAGCGGCGAACGGGUGAGUAACGCGUGAGUAACUGCCCCCCUCUCUGGGAUAACAGUUGGAAACGGCUGCUAAUACCGGAUAGUGGGGGAUGACUCGCGUCCUAUCAGCUUGUUGGUGGGGUAGUGGCCUACCAAGGCGAAGACGGGUAGCCGGCCUGAGAGGGCGACCGGCCACAGUGGGCUGAGAUACGGCCCAAACUCCUAUGGGAGGAAUGGGGGGGAAAUAGUGUGCAAGGGGGGAAACCGUGAUGCAGCAAGGCCGCGGGCGGAAUGACGGCGUUCGGGUUGUAAACCGCUUUCAGCCAUGACGCGGGAGUGGCAGAAGAAGCACCGGCUAACUACGUGCCAGCAGCCGCGGUAAUAC
rnacentral:rRNA from 1 species